UACCUAUGUAUGCGUUUAUAUAUGCAUACAUACAUAAACAUAUACAUACAUAUACACACAGACAUACAUAUAAACGGGAUAAAUAUCAGUUAAGACACAGUAAAGGAGUAAAAGACAAAUUCUAGAGAAGGGAUAAAAUCAUAGGGGUAAAACAAAAUCAAAGGCAAGGUCAUAGAAGUAGGUUUUGAGUUGCUUCUGAAAACUGUCAACCGAGGUUGCCUGUCUAAUAUGAGGAGGGAGCAUGUUCCAAAUCCUCUGUGCAUAACAGCUGAAGGCAGCGUCGCCAUACCUCUUGCUGUUCGUCAGUGGCACCUUUAGCAGACCAGCACCAUGCGAUCUGAGGGAGCGAUUUGAAACAUACUCCGACAGGCAAUCUGACAGGUAAGAAGGUGCUAGCCCAUUCAGAGCUUUAAAAACAAGUAAAAGAAUUUUAAAAUCUAUCCUCAAUGUUACUGGGAGCCAGUGCAAAGAUGCUAACACAGGAGUAAUGUGAACUCUUUUACUGGUUUUUGUUAGAAUUCUUGCUGCAGAGUUUUGGACGAGUUGCAGUCUAUCAAUAGUUUUUUUUGGCAAACCAGUAUACAGUGCGUUGCAAUAAUCUAACCAUGAGAGUACAAAGGCAUGAGUCAGGUUUUUUCAUCCUCCAGGGAGAGGUAUGGUCUGACUCUUGUGAUGUUUCUCAGGUGAUAAAAGGCUGUUUUAGUAACAUUGCUGAUAUGAUUGUCGAAAUUGAGGUCAGGAUCAAGAAUGACACUCAGGUUUUUCACUAUUGGUUUUACCUGUAGGGCCAGAUUUCCAAGUCUAUUUAUUAUUUCAUCUCUUUGAGCGUCUGUGCCAAUGAUAAGGACUUUGGUUUUGUCUUCAUUUAAUUUGAAAAAGUUGCCAUUCAUCCACUGCACAAUACUAGAGAAGCAGUUUAGUAGAGGGUGUAGGGUAUCCUUAUUGUCAGGUGCUACAGAUAAAUACAGCUGGAUGUCGUCAGCAUAGCAGUGAAAAUGAAUCCCAUGGUUACGAAUAAUUUUGCCAAGUGGAAUCAUGCAAAGAGAAAAUAACAAUGGACCAAGGAUCGAGCCCUGAGGAACACCAUAGAGAAUGCUUCGCUUCUCGGAAACAUAGUCACCAAGACUAACAGAGUAGUUUCUGUCUGUGAGGUAGGUAUUAAACCAGCUCAGUGUGGUUCCUGAGAGACCAAUCCAGCUUUCGAGUCCGUUCAGAAGUAUCUCAUGAUCAAUGGCGUCGAAUGCAACGGUCAAAUCGAGGAGAACAAGGACAGAAACGUUCUUUUUAUCUGCGCUCAUUCUAAGAUCAUUUAUGACUUUAGUGAGAGCAGUCUUGGUGCUAUGUUUACCUCUGGAACCAGACUGAAAUGUUUCAUAAAUAUCAUUGUUAUGUAAGAAAGCCUCUAGCUGUAUCAACACUGCCCUUUUCAGGAUUUUACCUAGAAAGGGCAGAUUGGAUAUGGGCCUGUAGUUACUCAGAGCAGAGGAAUCCAGAGUGUGUUUUUUGAGCAGAGGCCUAACUAGAGCAGUCUUUAGUGGAUCCAGGAAGAUAUCUGACUCUAAGGAACAGUUUAUAAUGUCUAGAACAUCAAGAAUAAAACUAUCUACAACCUCUUUAAAAAAGGAAGUGGGGAUGGCAUUGAGUGAGCAGGUGGAGGAUUUCAGUUGAGAGAUGAUAUUCCGGAGUUCCCCUUCACUAAUUUUCCUAAAAAAGUUAAGAUUUCCUCGAGCAUAUUUUUGAUUGGUAGUGUUUAUAAUACUAGUCCUGAUGCUGACAAUCUCAUUUUCAAAGAACGAGGCAAACUCCUCGCACUUUGACUGUGAGGGAAGAUGGAUAUGCUUGUUAAAGUGGGUGGGUUUAAGGAGACGGUCAGUGGUUUCAAAUUGAAUUCUGGGAUUAUUCUCAUUGGCGUUAAUAAUUUUAGAAAAAUAUGCCUGCCUUUCACAGCGCAAGGCAUUGUUAUAAGCAGAAAUAGAUUUUAUGAGACUCUUGUGGUGGACUGUUAGUUUGUUUUUCCUCCAUGCACGCUCUGCUCGACGGCAUUCCCUCUUUAGGAGGCAUUUUUGCUCAUUUUUCCAGGGGGUGGCCUUAGUUUGUGAUUUCUUUUAUAUUCUCUCUGGUGCCACUAUGUCUAAAGAUGACCUUAAUUUAUGAUUGAAGUUAUUAACCUUUUCAUGGAUUGAUGUAGGUUCAUCAGAAAAAGCUUGACUGUGCAUAUGGUUUGAGAACAUAGCGGCUGGGGAGGGACCAAGAAAUCAUCUUUUAGUAAGAUGCAAUGAGGAGUGGAAGGAAAACUUUCGCAUGUCCAGAGCAUCACUUGUAUCUUUGAGUGAGCUCCUUUGUCCUUACACUGAAAGGGAAUCAACAGUGAUGAGAUCUUCAGUAGGUGUUUUGAAAAACGUAGCCUGUACACUUUACUACAUAAGUGAUAAGGGGAGGCUGCAGAAGACAGCAAACACCUCUGGCUUAUCCUGACAGAGUGUCUUGAACAUUGUAAGGCAGGUCUGUAAAUCAGUAACAGUCCACCUAGGCCCACAGUACAUUAGGGUGCCUUUCACUGAACCCAAAGCAGAACUUGUCAAGGGGGUUUACUGUGCCCAUGGUAUGCCGCAGUGCUUGGUAGCAAUCAAUGGGACUUGAAAUUAAACAGCCACUAUGGAUUACAUCAAUGGAAAGGGUAGGUUUUCAUUUAACGUCCAAGCCGCAUGUGACUAUAAGUACGAAUUCAUCUGUGUUGUGAUCAUAUGGCCCGGAAGCAUUCAUGACACUGAAGUGUUUGCCAAUUCCCAGUUGAACGCUCAGUUCAACACCAAUUUUUCUGCUUGGGGACCCGGCUUAUCCCUUAUUGCUCUUCCUCAUGAAGGAAUAUGCAAAUGGUGGCUGCAGCGCUGAAGAACAGUACUUUGGCUUGUCUGUGUCAAAGCGGAAUGGUAAUUGAAUGUGCUUUUGGGCGAUUGAAGGCGAGGUUUGGAGUGCUUAGAAGGGCUAUGGGCAUAAACCUGAAUGACCUUCCUUUCGUCAUUUAUGCAUGUUUUGUCCUACAUAAUUAUUGUGAGGCCUGUAAAGAGACAGGGGAUGACAGCAAAGUGAUGACAGCCAUGCAAUUUGACCAGGCCCCCCCACGCAGAAUAACUGCUAUCAAACAGACUGCAAUGAAGCCGAAGGAAAGUGAGUCAGAAGGAUGUUUACAAAAUUCCUUCACCUUGGUGAUAUCAUAAAUGGUGACAUGUAAUUAAGUUUUUAUUUUUUCUAUGUUCUACUUUUUUCUUAUGUAUAUAAACAUGUUUAUGGAGUUGCAUAUUUUGUUUUUUGUUAUAGAUGUUAAUAUUCAGCAACAACAUAACGUAAUUGUGUCGAGCCAAAAACAUAAGAUGUCCAUUUUGUUAGUAAGGCCUACAGAUAUACAUGCCAGGUUUUUCUAUUCUUAUGCAAUAUAUAUUUAUAUGUAUAUACAUAAACAUGUGUUCACAUUGAUGGUAGAUAAGAUAAUAAUGUGUAUCAAGGUUUCCACCAGAAAAGUUAUUAAUGCUGGCGUCAGGUGGUAGGGGGGGCAAAAAUACAUGUUAGCAUGUGUAAAGGUGCUACUGGUGAUACAUGGUGUUCAGGCAGUAAAAUGUCCAAGCAUGUCCAAUUUCUUAAAAAGUUUUCCUAAAUUAACGUCACAUCCCAUCAGUGUAAUGUUUUCAGCUUUGUAGAUAUGGCUCGUAAAAUCAGCAAUUACUUUACAAAGCGAGUUUGUGAGGAGGACAAUCAUGAAGGCAGGUGAAACAGCGCAGACAUCAACUGGUUAUUAUAAGCAGUUAUAAAGUACUAAUGCAUGUUACCAAGGAGAUGUGGUAAAAUUGUCAGGUCUGACAGUAAAGCACAACCACAGCAAGUGACAGGGACCGGUGAUGGAGAGGAUCACAGUCAGAGUGCAGGCCAGGACGAGUUAAGGUAGGGGUAUUCAGUUGCCAAGUCAUUAGGAGUGUAUUAAUGCAAAGCCCACGUUUACAUGAUUUCAACAUCAUUUUUUUUAUCUUCCCAGAUUUUCUCAAAAACACAGAGCCAGUGGAUUUGACCCACAAUGGCUGAACAAAUUUACAUGACAUGUUACCUAUGCCAAAAACAUUGUGCCCCCAUGCUGCAGCUUGCUGCUGGCUUUGUGAGACAGAUGUCCACAUACUACAGGCUGGAUACCUUAAAACAUCAUGACAUGACAGCUAUCCAUAAAGUGGCAGAAGAAAAGGAGAACUGCAUUAGAAAAAGGCAACACUGUUACAAAAGCUGUACUCUUUAAGUUACAAAAAAACUAAUAUAAAAUAGUUGUUAAAAAAAAAAUGACUUUGUUGUGUCUUGAGGGAGAAUACUGCAGCGUGCUAUAGCUACACAAGUGGAUGUGGACCACAGGGCUCUUGAAGGCUGCUUCAAAAUAAUAUAUGAAUGCCUCAAGCAAAAGUGGCCCCACCGCACCAACUAUAAGCCCAUUAUUCUCUUAUGCAAGUGAUUGGGCUGUGCUUAUAUUGAUGGUUUGAAUGUAAAUUCUGCAGCCAUUUAAUUACAUGAUUGUAAAUUGAACAUCUCCAUAUAAUUACUGUCAAGUAGGCCAACCUAAUUACUGUUUUUGCCCCUGGGUCAGUGCCAACACCAAACAUACAAGCAGUCACGUCAUUGAUGAAAUGGUGGAGAUCAUUGGGCAGAUUUUGGAUGACAAGCUGAUGGCAAAGUUGUCAAAAUCCCCAGUGUGGGGGUUAAUGGUUGAUGAAACCACUGACAUCUCUCUGUUGUGAGUUUUUUGUGACCAAAGUGCUGCAUUCGGUUGAAGUGUCUGCUGGGGAUGCUGCAGCUUUGUAUGACACCAUACUAUGUGUCAUCAGAGAUGACAAGACGCUACACCAAGCAACAAGCUGGCCUCCUUCGCCAGUGACGGAGCCUCAGUUAUGAUUGGGAGAAAAACUGGAGUUGGACUAAUUCCCUGGCCUGCACUGUGUGGCACAUUGCUUCAAUCUGGCCAUGUCAGACUGCAUAAAGGAGCAGAGGGGAGUACCAUACCUCAUCAAAUAGGCCAGAACUGUUGGAACAAUCUUCUGUUGCCUCCAGCAACAGGACCAGCAGUCUUAAAGAAAUGGAGAGGCUUUUUGAACUCUCCCAAAUCAAGCUGCAGGUUUGCAGUAUUCAGUGCCAGAUUAUUCACAGAUUUAAUUGAGCUUUUUUGUCAUUAAUUAAGCUCAUCAUUAACUUUUGUAGGGCUAGUUGGGAGUCAAAUAAGGAGGCAACAGGUUUGAUGUGCCUGAUUCUGUCUGCUCUCAUUGCAAACCUCCCGCUCCAAGCCCAGAAUGAGCCAAAAGCUCAAGGACUGUAUUCCUUUGUAAAUGAUCCUUUGUGCCUAAUGCCAAUUGUGCAUGAGAAGAUCCACCGGCAGUUUUUUGGUUUUCCAAAAUAAAAAACGUUUCUUCUGCUAGGUGGAGCAGGAGGCAUGAGAUCAAUACCACAGUCCUUGGUUUUCCUGUUAAUUGAAUGAUAUCUAGCUGAGCUGCCAUGUUUGACCUCAGGUCACAGUGCUGAAAACAACUCUGACACAGCUGAGAGAGAGCAGCAUAGUCAAGGACCGCUGGCAGGCAUGGCGCCGAUCAGAUGCUGGUCUGAAACCUCUGCAGGAUGAGAUACCUGCAUACCUUGAAGAAGAUGGGAGAAGUUCAAGAAGACUUUAGGUGAUGGAGCCGUUUCUAACUGCACUGACUGAGAACAUUGAGAACCGAUUCCCAAACACCAGCAGUUUGUUCUCUCCCAGACAGAUUCUGAUGAACUCUGCAGAGUAUGGCGAUGCUGAGAUGAGGACACAGGCAGAGCAGUUCCCAAGACUGAGGAAGUCUGACCUGGUGUCUGAGUAGGACUCCGACAGACUCAGAGUGAGGAGUCCUGAUCUGAAGACCAAACUUCUGGAGGAGGUGCAUCUGUGGCUUGUAUGUCCACAAUCCUCUGAGCUGUAUCCCAACCUGAGCCUUGCAGCUGCAAUCGCUCCCACAGCCCCAGUCCAGACUGCAGACAUGGAGAGGCUAUUUACUGUACUCAAGAUUGUUAAGACACCACUGUGCAACAGAUGUGUGCUGCAAGGUGGCCAUUGAUGGACCAGACCAGGAGGCCUUGGACUACAAGGAGUGCAUCAAGAGAUUUUAUCAAAUGAAAAACAGGAGGCUGAAAUGUUCUGCCUCUGGUUGUAAACUGUGUAGAUGAAAACAAUGGCUUUAAUGUAUUGUUCAGCUACCCUGUAGCAGGGCCACAUUUUGUUGGUUGUGAAAUUUGUAAAUGAAAGCAAAGGCAUUUAUAUAUUUAUGUACAACUACUCUGCAAGAGGGCCCCCGAGACCUGUAAAUGAAAACAAUAGCUUCUGUUAUGUUUGAUUUGAUUUUAAGCAAUUUUUCUGUUUGUUAACUGUGUAAAUUAACACAUCAGCUUUUAUGUUGCAUUUAAUUUAAUGUUUAACAGGGCACCUUUAUAUAUCUUUUUAAUAAAGUACGUUGCUUGUAAAAAGUGUUUGCUUGAGCCAGUUGAAGGCACAGUACACAUGCAUGUGUGUGCACAUAAUCAGGAUGGUACCACCUCUGCCUCAUUUUCAACCAGGAAAAACAUUGGUAUAUUUUUAUAUUUUACUACCCAGAUCAAAAAAUGAAUUUACACAUAUCAGUCUAUGUUUGUUAGAACAAAGAGAGACAGUAAGACAGUCAUUGACUUUCAAGGUUAAGCAGAAUCAGUCAGUCAGUCCCCAUUGGAGUUCUUGGUGUUUCAUUUCUUCCUUUCUGUUCAUCGUAUAUGUUUCUCCUGAGAGUAACAUUUUUGCCUUGAAAAAAAAGUGAUCAGGGACAGGAAGGUCCAGUGGGAUUUGGCUGAAUGAAAUGACUGAUUCCUUUUUAACCAGCAGCUGGAGAAACACUUGUAAUCUCUCAAAGAUGUCUUUGUUGAAUAUUGAAUAGUGAGUAAGUGAUGGUACGUAUAUUAAUGACUUAGGAGAAUAGUCAGGUUGAUGGUGUCCUGUGAGGCAACCACAUCCAUACAGUAUG